CUUGACUACUGUGCCCCACUUGCCUUCCACCAUCCGCAACUCUUGGCCUGGAUCAGCCCUCCAUAUCAUGCCACUGCCACUAGUUGGGGGCACCAUCUGGACCGGGAUGGGACCCCAGGAAGAGGCCCGCCUGCUCGUGCCAACACCCGGGUUCCCGCCCCAACCCAGGAGUAUGCCAGGAGAGGUGGGGACCCAGUGCCAAGAUGGGAGAGUUGCCAGGCCCUACAGGAAGGAGGAGGGCUCCAAAGACCUCACCUACCACCCCGUUCUCAGACGUCCUGGAUCUGGCUUGUGGCUCUCCACCUUUGUGAUGGAUGUUCACAGGAACCUAGCCAGAGGUCACCUCUCUGCACUUCACCCCCCAACUGCACCUGCCUCCCUCCCUUAACCUCUGGGAAGGACACGGAGAACGGAAGUGGGAUGCAAACAGACUCAUACUUAGGCCACUCCCUCCAGCGUCGUUUGGUGCGGUUGAGCCUUAAGCCUGGGUGGGCUUCAGACCCAAGACUGUUGAUCAUAGUUUCAGGGAGUCACUCUGAAGAAGGCUGUGCCAGGGCCCAGGCGGGGUUUAGCCUCUCCAGGUUGACAGAACUGAGAUGCCGCAAUGGGGAAGAAAUCUAUUUUUGGAAGUGUGAGUGGUGUAGGAAGUGUGAGUGGUGCAGAUACUUGAUUUCCAUAAACCUGUAAAAGCAAUACUUAGAGGCUGACUUAUUUCAUUAAAAAAUGUAAGCAAUGCCAACCCCUCUUGCCCUUGUCUGGUUGCUGGUUUUUGUUUGUUUGUUUUGAAUUUUGGAAAUGGGGCAUUAUGGCUGACAGUUGACAAAAAAGUCAGAUGGCCCAUUUUAGAGAUGCAGCAGGGACUAGGGAACUCACUCUAGAGAGGCCACCUCCUCCCGCCUUCUGAAAGCCUGAGUUACAGUAGGGAACGCUUGGGGGCCUGGGGAACUUGGGCCUGAGCCCCACACACAGCAUUUGAUACACCUCCAUGAAUGAUGAGAGAGGGGCACACAUUUAAUCCCAGCACUCAGGGAGCAGAGGAGGCAGAUAUCUAUGAGUUCAAGUCUAACCAGGUCUAAAAAGUAGGUUCCAAGCUCGCCAGGUCUACACGGUGAGACCCUGCCCUAAAAAGCAAAGAAUGGGGAAGAGGCUGGGAAUGUAAUUCACUUGGUAGAAUCCUUACCUGGCUUGCAUAAAGCCCUGGCCCCAGCAGCACAUAAAUCAUGCACAGUGGUAUGUGCCUAUAAUCCCAGCAUUCCAGAGACAGACAAAUGUAUCAGAAGCUCAAAAAUGGAAGUACAAAGAUCAGAAGUUCAAGGUCAUCCUGGGCUUCAUGGGACCCUGUCUCCAAACCCCACAAAAAAAUGGAGCCUUCUUCCCUGGUCUUCCCUAGAGUAUAGCUCUAGCCCCUUCCUGAAGCCAUGAGCACUUAGGGCAGCUUGGCAUACAACAGAUGGGAGCCAUCAGACACUCAUGGGAAGAACCUGUGACACUCCCCACCUCUCCAUGAUGGGAUAAUCCUUUUGCAACAGGGUGCAGCUGAAUUCUCCAAGAUGGCAGUUUUUGGCUCUGAUAUAUACUACAGGAAGAGAAACAUACUCCCCGGGAGAGAGGCCUGGAGGGAAGUUGAUGGCUGAAUAGGGGCUUGGAUUGUGCAGCCUGCCAAUUCCCCCAGAACUGCUUCUCGAAUCACAAGGGGGGCCAGCAACCUAUUCUAGCCUACUGUGAGCCAUACCCCAUACCCACAGAGAUCCUUCAAAGGGGUCACGGGCCAAGCUGAUACGUUGACUCCUUCCCUAUAAUGCCAAGUUUCUAACAUGGAAACCACAACUUACCCACCUCUUGAGAUGACACCAUGCUAAUUACCAAGAGAUUCUCUUCUAAAAUGAUGCAGUUCCACUCCAGGCUCCACUAGUGUGCAACCCUCAUGUAUCCACUGUCCAGGAGCCUUUGUGCACUGCGCAACCUGGCCAGACACACCUGGCCACUCUGUCUUAAAUUUGCUAAGAUGCAAGACUUUCAGCGCAGGAGCCUUGAGUGUCUUGUUCACCCAUGUGUCUUCAGUGCACAGUUAGUUGCACAAUGCCUAAGUGAGCUGGUGCUGAGGAUUAGCCAUCCAUACCACACUUACUGAGCAACUACUAUGUACAGGCACCUGAAUGGGUGGAGAGGGCAGAAGGGUGAUCAAGCAGACAAACCCCCUGCUCCCCAGAGCUCACAUUUAGACAGGCAGACAGCAGAAGAGAACAUUGAGAUGGAGUUGGAGAGUAGGGUACAGAGGUAUGAGAGACAGAUAAUCGGCCUGAGGAACCGUAGAGUCCUGUAGGAAGUCACAUACAGGCUGGGGAAGAACAUUCCAGGCAGAGGCAGGAAUGCAACACAGGGUGGAUGAAAGGAGAGCUCCUACACUAAGCUGUGUGCUGGGGGGGUUGUUAAGACGGCCUCACAGUGUAGACCAUGCUGGCCUUGAACUCACAGAGAUCCUCCUGUCUCUGCUUUCCAAGUGCUGGGAUUAAAGGUGUGUGCCACCACACAUGACCUUGUUUUAUAUGUAUGAGUGUUUUGCCUGUGUAUAUGUAUGUGUACAGAAACUUCAGAAGACAACUUGUAGGGGAUGGUUCUCUUUUCCACAUGUGGGUCCUGGGGAGCAAGCUCCAAUCACUGGGUUUGCUUUACCCCUGAGCCAUUUUGCUGACCUGUUUUAUUAAUAUUUUUGUUUCCACAUUGAGCCUUUACAUAAUCCAGUGAAGAUGAUCCCCACGGCUCUGCCCGUUUUACAGAUGGGGAAUCUAAGGCACAGAAGAUUCCUGACACACUUGCUUCUGCAUAUAUGGUGAGAUGGAGCAUGAGACCAGACAGCUCAACUGAGAGUUGGUGUCAUACAGUCCUAAGCUACCUCUGUUCAAGAGCCAGAGGGCUUAAGAUGCUGCCCAGCACACAGGAUCUAGAACCAGUGAGGUUUGUUGAGCAUUUACUGUGUCCCUGGCACUAUAGUGAGUGCCUUACAUAAAUCAACCCAUUAAUAAGUGACAGCCCUCAACAGAGUAAGGAGAGGUAAGUGCAGCAGAUAUCUGCCUUGGAGAGUGCCUCAGUACCCUCCCCUGUGGCCACACAAGUGGGACUUCCAUGUGCCACCCCUGAGCUUGAUGCCUUGCACAGGUGCCCUCUGCAGCUGGACCUGUCUCUGAGAAUCACCCCCAAGCAGCCACCUCCCUGGGCCCUCUAGCCCAAUUCCCACUUACUGGGAUGCGGGCCAGUCCUAUUGGCAUCAGGGCUGGCAUGCUGGAGCCACACAGAUGGCUCCCUCUGCCAAGGCAAGAAAGCACGCUGUCACUGUCCCGAUGGAGGGAUCAGUGGCUCCUGACCUCAAAGCAAGAGCGCCUAGGGAAAACAAGAAGGGCAGCACUGGUGCUACCUGCUCCUUUUGGCUGGCUGCAGCUGCGGCCGACCAGCUUGGUUCUGGGAACUGCUCCCAGGAUGCAGUGGGGCAGUAGAAGAGAACACUCCUUUGUACCAGUGGUCACUGUUGUAGCCCUCAGGCCUGGGAAUAAUAACUUUCACUGAAUCUUAGAAUCUACCAAGAUCCUUGCAGAAGGUACAGGAUCUGGGCAAAGCCGGACUGUAUGGUGUGCACAUGCGCUCCGUGCAUGUUCUGUACUGUGGAAUGUGGUAGAAACAAUGCUAUGCAGCCUGUUAUGAGGUGGUCUCUGCUGGCCCGUGUCUCCUCACUUUCUCCUUUCUGUUCUCCCUCACUGGGGAGUCACCCUAUAAUACAGACGCAGUGCUAUGAGGAAGGCAAGCCAGCUCCCCUUGGAGAAGUCCCCAGCCAGCUGUCCAUUAUGGACUCAGGGAUCCCAGCCAGCAACCCAUGUCAUGCACCAGACAUACAGGCGCAAGCCUUCAGAUGAUUCCAGCCCGGCUUCUAGCUGCCCCAGUUGACUCAGAGGGUUGGUGGGGCCAGGUGGGCUGUCUCUUCUGAGCCUGCCUAAAGGACAGGGGUUGGAGCAGAAUGGAAGUGUGGACUGUUUAAAGUUCUUGUGGUUUGGAUGGUUUCUUUUGCAUUGGAUACCAGGACAGAAGGGAUCCCCCAGAUGGAACUUGCGGGAUGAACCAAGCCCCAGAGCUGCAGUGAGAGUGCGUCUGAAAUGUAGUGAGUAUGUGAAGAAGGCAGAGCAGCUCCCGGCUGCAGCCCUCCUGUCCUGCAGUCUACCAUCCCUGGCUCUUGGUUCACAUCCAGGGUCUUAGCCUGCUCAGGCCUUGACUGAAAGUUUGUGGAAACAGUGCCACAAGUAAAAAGAGCUGCCAUAGACUCCCUGCCGCGUUUAGAGGUCUGCAGGCCAGGGCCACACUUAGUGUCUGCAGAGCAGGCCCUGUCGGGAGCAGCAGGAAGAAGUGCCUUCUCACCAGGCUGGCCCUGGCCUGGCUAGGCAGGUGCUUGGCUGCUUCGGUUCUGUACUCUGGCCUGGACCGUCAAAGAGAAGGCCUUCGGCCUCCUGGGUGGAUCCACUGAAUGCAGCCCCAGCCUGCCUGCCACUGCUCACAGCCACUGAAUGGGGCUGGCUUCCCGCCUGGCACUCAAGAGCCUGUAGCUGCUCUUGCAGCCUGGAGAAGAGCGAGACGUGUCUGUUCCUCAUCUAGGCAGAGGUCCAACUCCGAGCCUGCAGGGGCAGGGUUACCGGAGGCUGACUCUCAUGGGAUACGGCCCACAGAAGAGCAGAGUCCACAGUACCCAGUUCAAGGUCCAGCGUGGUCAGUGUCCCAGAGUACAUGCUGUGGGAGAUCAGGAGAGACAGGUGUCAUGGUCACAAUGAGAAAAGAAUCUAGAGAUGCCGAUAUCUAUCCGAGAAGACGGGCACAACUUUGCAGAUCAAAGCCAUCUGAACAGCAAAAGUGUGUGUGAAGGUCAGAGGAGCUGUUCUCUCCCUCUGCCAUGUGGCUCCUGGGGCUGGAACUCAAAUUGUCAAGCGUGGCAGCAGCCACCUUCUCUGGCUAAGCCACCUGCCAGCUUUCCCCCACUUUUUUUUAGAUUGGUUCUGGUUCUCUAGGCUGGCCUUAACUCAUGGUUAUCCUACUGUCUCAGGCUCUCCGUUGCUACGAUGGAUUACUGCAUUGUCUCCAGGACAGAAGGGCUCAACAGUCGCUCACCUGGCCAUUUUGGAAGCUUGAUGGAAGACUCAGGAUCCUCUUGGCAUGGGGAGGGGGAUGUCGUAUCCUCUGAGGAUGGAGAAUUAAAUGUCAAUUAGAGUCUGGCGGGUCCCCAUGGGCUCCUGUCAGUAUUGGGGGCAUCCAGAGAACAGAACCACAUGCCUGAGCCUCCAAGGCCAGGUUACAAGAAGGCAGCUCAAGAUUUUUGCAAGUUUAGAGUCAAUCUAAUAGGCACAUACUGAGUUGCAGGCCAGCUGAGGCUAUAAGGCAAGACCCUGUCUCCAAACAAAGAAAAGCAAAAUUAAAAGCAUGGGAUGCAAGUAAAGCCCGGGCUUCCAGCUUCGGAAGGCCCAGCCAUGCCGAAUCUGCUUUCACACCCUAAGGAUCAACAGGAGGCUUGUGGCUUGUGGCUCCGCUCGGAUGGACACACAUGUUCCAGCUGUCACCCAACCCUCAGUCACACUCCCUGCUUCACUAGUCCUCACACACCUUCUCUCACACACCCUCCCUCAUGACCAGUCACUCAUGAGCGUGCCUUGCCCAUCUGCUCAGGCAGCUCUGACUGUCUGAGAAACAUCCUUCCUCAAGCCCUCCGUCCUGUUCCCAAGGCCUCUUUCGGGGCCCCAGUUCUCACCCAUCUCAUGUGCACGGGAAGUCAGCGCAGGUUCGGGCAUGCUGGGUAGGUCAGCUGCGGACGGUGCAAAGGGGCUGAUGGAACCCAGCCUGUCUGGGGACUUGGGGAGGCUGGGGACAGUGGGGCUGCCUGAAGGGACUACUUGAUUGACCUGGGGCAUCUCACCUACACCAAAGGAAAAGAGGAGUGUAAGAACCAUUAGGAACUCAUCCAGGAGUGCACUGGGUCACUUCAACCAAACUAUAGAGUGUGACCUGAGUUUUCCCAGGGUAGAGGCACUGCAUCUGUAUUAGAGGCCGACUGCCUAACCAGAACUUCUGUGGCUAUGGAGAGCUGGAAGAUUGCAGGUCCAGAGCCAAAUUGUCUUGGGGUGUCUUUAGCACCCACCCCCAUAGACAUUAAUUCCCGCCUCUGUGUUUGACCUAACAUCCUUAAGACUUCAGGUAAAAAUCCUUUUGGCAAUGUACCAGGAGAUGCUAUUUCCACCAAAUUAAAGGUUGAGAAUGCCAUCAGGUAGCGUCCGAGGACUCUAGCAGAGGUACCCUACUUUGCUGUAACCUGCCUGAGGUUUCUACCAAGGUAUUUGGAAGAUGCCCUGAUUUACAACUCUCUUUGUUCUGUGACUAUUAAAAGUUCAUUUGCUGUUGCCA